rnacentral:rRNA from 1 species
UACGAAGGGGGCUAGCGUUGCUCGGAAUCACUGGGCGUAAAGCGCACGUAGGCGGCUUUUUAAGUCAGGGGUGAAAUUCUGGAGCUCAACUCCAGAACUGCCUUUGAUACUGAGAAGCUUGAGUCCGGGAGAGGUGAGUGGAACUGCGAGUGUAGAGGUGAAAUUCGUAGAUAUUCGCAAGAACACCAGUGGCGAAGGCGGCUCACUGGCCCGGUACUGACGCUGAGGUGCGAAAGCGUGGGGAGCAAACAGG